UACGAAGGGGACUAGCGUUGUUCGGAAUCACUGGGCGUAAAGCGCACGUAGGCGGAUUUGUAAGUCAGGGGUGAAAUCCCGGGGCUCAACCUCGGAACUGCCUUUGAUACUGCGAAUCUUGAGUCCGAUAGAGGUGGGUGGAAUUCCUAGUGUAGAGGUGAAAUUCGUAGAUAUUAGGAAGAAACACCGGUGGGCGAAGGCGGCCCACUGGAUCGGUACUGACGCUGAGGUGCGAAAGCGUGGGGAGCAAACAGG
rnacentral:rRNA from 1 species